rnacentral:rRNA from 1 species
AUGAAGGUAAACACACCACUGAAGUUCCAUGCUAGCGAGAUCUACACGCAAGCAAUGUUCGACAAAUUUGGUGAAAUCAUGUAUGAAGCAAGACAAUACAGAGUAGAAGAAGUUGAAAAAGGUUCAAAAUAUUAUGUACACCGGUACCACCCGGAGAAACAUGACAAGUGCUGCAGAGUAUUGUACAUUGUACAUGUCCUCGCUCAGGGUGAUGAACUGACAUGUGAAUGUGGCAACUUCGAGCACAGAGGAUUGCUAUGCUGCCAUUCAAUUAAGGUUCUUGAUUUCUUGGGUAUAGACAGAAUUCCAUCAAAGCAUAUCCUGAAAAGGUGGACAAAGGAUGCCAGAGAUAUACUUCCAGAUCACUUGGCCCACCUACAAAAAGACAAGAUUCCAGCUAACUCCAUAACAUUCAGACAUUCAAAUAUGUAUACACAUGCUUUAGAGGUUGUGAAACUUGGUGAUGCAAAUCCAAUUGCAUAUGAUUGCGCAAUGGAACUUAGGGCAGCAAUGGAUAAACUGACUCCUUUAGCUGCUGAGCAUGAUAGUCUGGGUUUGGAACACUCAAGAAGACAAAACUUGCAGAAUUGA